AUUGAACGCUGGCGGCAGGCCUAACACAUGCAAGUCGAGCGGAUGAGGGAAGCUUGCUUCCUGAUUUAGCGGCGGACGGGUGAGUAAUGCCUAGGAAUCUGCCUAUUAGUGGGGGAUAACGUUCCGAAAGGAACGCUAAUACCGCAUACGUCCUACGGGAGAAAGUGGGGGAUCUUCGGACCUCACGCUAAUAGAUGAGCCUAGGUCGGAUUAGCUAGUUGGUGAGGUAACGGCUCACCAAGGCGACGAUCCGUAGCUGGUCUGAGAGGAUGAUCAGCCACACUGGAACUGGGACACGGUCCAGACUCCUACGGGAGGCAGCAGUGGGGAAUAUUGGACAAUGGGCGAAAGCCUGAUCCAGCCAUGCCGCGUGUGUGAAGAAGGUCUUCGGAUUGUAAAGCACUUUAAGUUGGGAGGAAGGGCUGUAAGCUAAUAUCUUGCAGCUUUGACGUUACCAACAGAAUAAGCACCGGCUAACUCUGUGCCAGCAGCCGCCGCAGUAA
rnacentral:rRNA from 1 species